CACUGUGCUUAAAAAGGGAUUGAACAGCUGUCGUCAGGAUCCUCGAACUGUUGGCCUGAUCUUGAACUGAGUGUGGGUGGGACUUCUCCCACGACCUCUGACACCUCGACCUCUGACAACACAAAAUUCCCUAGAGUGAUUUAUCUCACAAAUAGCAAAGUAGAGAGAAAGGCAAUGAAAAUUACUGACUUCGGUAUUUGUCUAGAUUUCUGACUCUACGAUGGGUAAAAGCAGUGUGGAUUUGUCCAGUCAGCCACGGUUCGUGAAGCGCAGGGGCCUGGCCAGCAGUCCGGGAACGUCUACCACCCCACGCCCAGGACGUCAUCCCCCACCUGGACCCACGCUGCCCCUUCCUGCCCUUGCGAGAGUCAAAACUCCUGGGAAGGAGACUGGUGCUGCCGGCUUGCUUGAUUUUCCAUUGACCCCCAGUGACAGGAAUACUUAGGCUAAAAAGAAAAGUUUCAAUCCGGCACAACUUCAAAAGUGAGCUUCUGAUGGCAAAAUCAGAACGUUCUUCUUUCUAUGCUUCCCUUUAAAAAGGUAAAGGCAAGUCCGACGAUCUCCCGUCCAGCAAGUAUCAUUUCCUGCAAGCACAAGGAUGACAAUGACGAGUAUAAACCACCGCUGAGCCAGACGGCACAGAUGGACGAGCAGGCGCACUGCAGGGCUGCGCGGGCGUCGGCACAGCGUGGAGAGCAGUGUGAGCACCAGGACCCCGAGCUCAGACUUGCAAGUGGAAGGACAGUCGGCCCUGUAAGGAAGAGGUCCUCUCCCCUUGAUGGAAGGAGUGCAGCCUCUGUCCCACCGCUCUGGUGCCAGAGCUGCAGGCUGUUCUCAGGGACAGUGAGGGGAGGGCAUCCACAGGGCAUGAGGGAACAGUGUGGGGAGGGCGUCCACAGGGCGUCAGGGGACAGUGAGGGGAGGGCGUCCACAGGGCAUGAGGGAACAGUGUGGGGAGGGCGUCCACAGGGCGUCAGGUGA
rnacentral:lncRNA from 1 species